GAUGAAGAACGUAGCGAAAUGCGAUAAGUAAUGCGAAUUGCAGAAUUCAGUGAAUCAUCGAAUCUUUGAACGCACAUUGCGCCCGCCAGUAUUCUGGCGGGCAUGCCUGUCUGAGCGUCGUUUCGACCCUCGCGCCCGGCUUCUGUCGGGGGCGGUGUUGGGGAUCGGCCACACCCUUCAGUGGGAGGCCGGCCCCUAAAUUCAGUGGCGACCACGCUGUAGCCUCCCCUGCGUAGUACUAAAACCACCUCGCAGGCGGAGAGCGGUGCGGCCCGCCGUAAAACCCCCCAACUUUUACAAGGUCGACCUCAGAUCAGGUAGGAAUACCCGCUGAACUUAAGCAUAUCAAUAAGGGAGGA
rnacentral:misc_RNA from 1 species